UUAACUGGGGAUUAGAUACCCCACUAUGCUUAGCCCUAAAUAUUAUACAAAACGCCAAAUAACUACGAGCGCAAGCUUAAAACUUAAAAGACUUGACGGUGUCCCAUCAAUCUAGAGGAGCCUGUUCUAUAAUCGAUAUUCCUCGCUAUACCUUACCCCUUUUUGCUCAUCAGUUAGUAUACUUCCGUCGUAAGCUCACCACGUAAAUGCAUCAGUAAGCUAAAUAGUCCAACCACUAAUACGUCAGGUCAAAGUGCAGCUUAUAGAGGGGGAGAAAUGGGCUACUGUUUCUAUCUAAGAAUAAACGAAUUAGCAUCUGAAUAACUGCUAUGAAGCUGGAUUUAGAAGUAAAGUAAAACUAGUGUGUUCACUUUAACAAUGCCCUGGGACAUGUACACACCGCCCGUCACCCUCA
rnacentral:rRNA from 1 species